GAUGAACGCUGGCGGCGUGCCUAAUACAUGCAAGUCAAGCGAACAGACGAGGAGCUUGCUCCUCUGACGUUAGCGGCGGACGGGUGAGUAACACGUGGAUAACCUACCUAUAAGACUGGGAUAACUUCGGGAAACCGGAGCUAAUACCGGAUAAUAUAUUGAACCGCAUGGUUCAAUAGUGAAAGACGGUUUUGCUGUCACUUAUAGAUGGAUCCGCGCCGCACUAGCUAGUUGGUAAGGUAACGGCUUACCAAGGCAACGAUGCGUAGCCGACCUGAGAGGGUGAUCGGCCACACUGGAACUGAGACACGGUCCAGACUCCUACGGGAGGCAGCAGUAGGGAAUCUUCCGCAAUGGGCGAAAGCCUGACGGAGCAACGCCGCGUGAGUGAUGAAGGUCUUCGGAUCGUAAAACUCUGUUAUUAGGGAAGAACAAAUGUGUAAGUAACUAUGCACGUCUUGACGGUACCUAAUCAGAAAGCCACGGCUAACUACGUG
rnacentral:rRNA from 1 species